CUCUUCCUUGUUCAUUUCCAUUUGUAUCAAGGUUUAUACUCCACGGUACUCGAAACGAGGGCUGUAUGUGAGGACCUGUGCAGUUUGGGGUCUGCAGUGGCCCUGCAAGUGUCCUUUGGUGUUGAAAGAAAAAGGAAGCAGCGUGCACAUGCCAUGGACCUUUCCUUGGCCAUCACCUCAGAUGUCCGCCAGGAUGUGGAGCUCUAGGGAACGAGAGUGCUCUUGCAGUGGGGGAGUCAGUCAUCUGAGGAGGUCUGGGCACCCUCUGAGUGUCUGUGAAAUUACUUUGAAAUGAGUGGGGUGGCAGACGGCCAGGCUUGUCCGAAGACCCUUAGUAGCUUGUUGGUAUGUGGCCAUCUUCUCAUUUCUGACUCCUGGGUAGUGACAAGAUAGCUUUUUGGGAAAAUGUUAAUUUAAAAAGAGACAGGCCAGUGGCUUCACCCAUGGCUGUUGGAGGUGGAUGACAUACACACAGUCCUUUGCUUUGGCUAAAACUGAAUUACACCUACAGCCUUCUGAGACUCGACUCCCAGACAGGAGCUGACACUAGGGCAGAUCGGGAGGUGGUGUAAUUUCCCAUGACGUCCAAGCUGGGAACUUGAACUAGGAGUAUGAUCUAGCAUUUGACAUCCGUCCCUCUAACAGGACUUGUUUGUGUAGAAACAGACCCACACACACACAGCCUCUGCCACUGUCUCCACUUCUGGAUUUUUCCACAGACAACUUCUUGGUUGGUCUGGUGGCAAAGGACCAGUCUUCUAGCCAAGGCUUCUUGGCAUCCACUGGCAGGAUCGCCGCACCCCUCCAAACCCAACUGGCCACAGUGGCUGGGCUCUGUCCGGGGGGCCAGCGGAAUUGAAAGGUGUCGCAGCCGGGAUCUGAAAUGCAUUCAGUUCGAACGGCCUGGAUCUGCACGGAGCCAUUCUUUCUUUCUUUUAGACAUCUGCGUGAUAGUGACCUCAUAGAAAAGAAAAAGGGGCUUUAUGUAAGAAUUCCAUAGAGUGUGAAGGAAUUCCAACAAGGGAAGGGGGUGGCAAGCUGCCAUUCAGAGCUUGUAGUGCCUGCAUUUUCCCAGCGUUGUUUAAGCUUCACACUUCAAAAUUGGGCUGGGGGAGGGGGCAGCGCUGCACCCCGGUGCACAGAGGGCCAUUUAAAGAGAACUUCCUGAGCGCAGGCCACCGGGUUGAGUCCCUCAGACCAGUUCUCACUGCAGGUGUGCAGCAGAGUUGGAACGAGUCCCCAAAGCCUGCCCCUACUAGUCCUUGUUUUCUCCAAAGUCUUUGAAACUGGAGUUACUUUACAAACGACCUCCAGCUCGUCUACAGCCUUAGACGAGGAAUUCAGUCUGCUCCCAACCCAGAGAAGAACACGGGGCCCGGGGAGGGGAAGGCACUCGCCACAGUCACAUUUCAGGAUUCGAGCUUUGCCUCCAAAACGAGUGAGGUCAGAGCCCCAGAUCUGCCUUCGACUUGUGAGCAGCUCGUUCACUUCUUAGAGCCUCAGUUUCCUCAUCUGGAAAACGGGGACGGUGUGAUGAUGACCUCAUAAAGUUCGAGGGAGGAACUAAAUGAAAUGAUACAUGUCAAGUGUGCGGCAUGUGGGUAGCACCUUGUAAGUGUCUGAUGUUCACGUCUUGAGUUUUUAUGAAAGACGUGGAAACUAUUUACUUACUAAGGACUUGCCCGUGGUCACUUGGCUGAGUUUCUCUUUGUCAAGAACUUUUCCGUGCCUCGGCAUACCGAGGCCCUAAACGAGGCUGAGAAAGGUGUCACGGGGGGUCAGGAGGCCCUCCAGGUGCCACCAAAGCACUUUUCUAUGAUCAAUGACCCUCAAGACCGACAGGGAGGAGACAGCAGCAGUUUGGAAAGAGACAAAAUUUAAAUGUCAGGUGGUCCUAAGCCUCUCCGGAAAAUGUUUAGAAAUUGGUAUCAUUUGUUCCUUUCUCUCCACCCCCCACAAGGCGAGGAGAGUGAGCCUUAUACGUUUUCAGUGCAUCCUCUUGGAGGGGGAGGGUCUCAGGAGGCCUCCAGAGCUGUGUCAGCCUCGGUGUGUUAUUAAGCAAGGCAGAUGUUGCGUUAAUUAUUUACACAGCGUCAGCCCCAUCGGAGGUCUGCGCUGACAGAAGCGGCUGUCACAGAAGCGAGGGGACAGGGCAGCCCGUUCUUGGUCAGAAGUGAGCUAGGGGCCCUCUCCGCGCCCAGAGUCCUCAUGGAGCAUCAUGGAGUAAGGCCUGAGGGAGUCCAUGCGUGCUGGGCAUGGAAACUGAGGCCAUUUGGGAUUCCCUCGGGCUGGCUUGUUUUCUCGGAGCGGGGAGAGAGAUCCUUGUCCCCUGGAAGUGGCCGCCUCACCCCUCCUGAGGUGGCUUCUGUGGGAAUUUGCCCAGCUCACAAAUUCGAGACCCCGCCACUGUGGUGUGUGUGGUGAAGAGAGAGCAUUGGCAGGCUCUGGAGAUCUAAGAAUCCAGCGCCUCCGCCCCCCAGCAGUCACCUCAGGCGAGGGCUUCCCAUGGGCCCGGCCUCCACUCCUCAUCUGGAAAAUGGGCCAGUAAUACCGGGCUCAAGGCCCUUGAUUCUCGGGCACUGUUUGGGUGAUUUGCCUUAGAGAUCCAAUUUUAGGAUUAGAAUUCUGAAAAGGAAGGGCCUGGGAUCAGAGCCUUCCCUGAAAAGCCGCAGUGGAUGAGGGACAUGAAUUCCAGGCUGAGGGAAUUUGGGGGGGCCUGCUGCUGCCCUCGGCCACAGCACUGUUUUACAUGAGGAGGUUUUGCACAAGUCAUUUAAGAAAAGUUCUUAUAUGAAAUAUCCAGAAUCUCUAAAUCUGCAGAGAGAGAAAGCAGAUUGGUGGGUAUCAGGCUGUGGGGAGGGGAGAAUGGGGAGCAACUGCUUAAUGGGUGGAUACAGGCUCUCCUUUCGGAGUGAUGAAAAUGUUUUAGAACUAGAGAGCAAUGAUGUUAUGAAUGUGCUAAAUGCCACUGAAUUGUUCACUUUACAGUGAUUAAUUAUAUGUUACUCGGAAAAAUAA